UAAGGUGGUUCUGGGUUUGUGCUCU
rnacentral:piRNA from 1 species